GACGAACGCUGGCGGCGUGCCUAAUACAUGCAAGUCGAGCGGACUUUCAAGAAGCUUGCUUUUUGAAAGUUAGCGGCGGACGGGUGAGUAACACGUGGGCAACCUGCCUGCAAGACGGGGAUAACUCCGGGAAACCGGGGCUAAUACCGGAUAAUAUCUUCCUUCGCAUGAAGGAAGGUUGAAAGGCGGCGCAAGCUGCCGCUUGCAGAUGGGCCCGCGGCGCAUUAGCUAGUUGGUGAGGUAACGGCUCACCAAGGCGACGAUGCGUAGCCGACCGGAGAGGGUGGGCGGCCACACUGGGACUGAGACACGGCCCAGACUCCUACGGGAGGCAGCAGUAGGGAAUCUUCCGCAAGGGACGAAAGUCUGACGGAGCAGCGCCGCGUGAGCGAAGAAGGUCUUCGGAUCGGAAAGCUCUGUUGUCAGGGAAGAACAAGUACCGUUCGAACAGGGCGGUACCUUGACGGUACCUGACCAGAAAGCCACGGCUAACUACGUG
rnacentral:rRNA from 1 species